rnacentral:rRNA from 1 species
CCUACGGGGGGCAGCAGUAGGGAAUAUUGCUCAAUGGGGGAAACCCUGAAGCAGCAACGCCGCGUGGAGGAUGAAGGUUUUCGGAUUGUAAACCUCUGUCAGCAGGGAAGAACGGUCACUGUGCUAAUCAGCAGUGAAUUGACGGUACCUGCAAAGGAAGCACCGGCUAACUCCGUGCCAGCAGCCGCGGUAAUACGGAGGGUGCGAGCGUUAAUCGGAAUUACUGGGCGUAAAGCGCUCGUAGGCGGUAUGUCAAGUCAAGGGUGAAAUCCCCGCGCUCAACGUGGGAACUGCCUUUGAAACUGGCAAACUGGAGUGUGUGAGAGGAUAGUGGAAUUCCAGGUGUAGGAGUGAAAUCCGUAGAUAUCUGGAGGAACAUCAGUGGCGAAGGCGACUAUCUGGCACAUAACUGACGCUGAGGAGCGAAAGCGUGGGUAGCAAACAGGAUUAGAUACCCCUGUAGUC